UCCCUAGUAGCUCAGAUGGUAAAGCAUCUGCCUGCAGUGCACGAGGCCCAGGUUCAGUCCCUUGUUAGGGAA
rnacentral:tRNA from 1 species